AGGUGGUACCUUGUGCAGCCUUGCGCUGCCUUGAGGGUGUGCUCCGUCAGGCCGCCGUUCCUGAAUUCGGUAGCUCGUAGCUAAAUUUUGUCUCUGUGCACCACGCCUACUCGUCUGUUAACACACCUUCAGGGACAGUGGCCCCACCGCCUCCCUGGGUAGCCCGUGCUAACAACGCUACACAGCCCUCUGUGUGGAAAAAGUUUUCCUACUGUCCACCCUGACCCUCCCCAGGCACAAUUUGAGACCGUUACCAAAAAAAGAUUCCCUCGGGGAAAGGAAAGCCGUGCACCCGCCUUGGAGCACUUUGUCCCGGGCUGUGCCGUGAGGAGAGGAGCAGCAGUGCAGAGGGGAGCAUGUGGAGAUGCGCCCGGAGAAGGAGCAGCCGGCACAGCUGCCAGCCCUUCCCGUUGGGUUUCCAGGCAGGAGUAAAACAAUGGCUGCUGAGAUAUGUUACAUGGAAUGGGAACCUGGACUACCUCUUGCACAAAGCUGCUGAGGAAAAGCAUACGACUUAGAGAUGCUUCCAAGUUUUCAUACGGACUGAACAGGAUUCGGUGCAGAACCCACAGAUGUGGAUUUACCAGAGGGCUCACAGAAGGUGAUUCCAGCAGAUGCCAGCUAUGAGCCUCCUGCUAUUGUAAGGCCGUACAGCCAAGGAGUGCUGAGUCAGCUGCACGACAGAGGAGUCCAGAGAAGCAAAGUGGGAUCAGAUGUGAAAAGUUUGGGUGUAACCCAUUGUGCUGCCCUUUGCUGACAGCCUCAAGACCCUGUGCCUACCUUCAGGCUGUACAGAGACCCAGAUAUGCUUCCAACAAGUCUUCAAAAAGUUGUUGUUCAUUACAAAAGAAAGUGCUCCAUGUCAUAUCCGAACCACUGAGGUCACUUGGGAAGUCUUCCGUCUUUCCACUCAUCUGUCACAGCAUUUUUUUGUUUGAGAUGCUCUGAUGAAAGGCUGCAUUCUCCAUUUUCAUUUAAAAAGCCAUUUGCCACCCUCCGAAUCACAAGCAAGAGGUGAGGGAAGUCCUUAGGAUUCCCUUUUGCAGAUACGCAGAUAGGAACAGGUACCUGGGCUUCUUCAGAUCCAUUUCCAUGUUCUUGGAACACACACUCCUGCUCUGUGCAUGUCCUGUUGACUGACUGACUGUGGAGGGACAUGUAGUGCUUCAUGUCAACUCCAGCUGAGCACUUUGCACAAAGUAAUUGCUGCAAUUGAUUCCGGCUAAGGGUCCCUGACAGCAGUUGGUGGCAAGUGCAAUAGGGAAGGGUAUAAGAGCCAAGACAUGUGGUAAUGGCCUUAAGUUAUGCCAGGGGAGGUUCAGCUUGUGUGUUAGGAAACAUUUCUUCUCAGAAAGAGCGGUGAGGCAGUGGCGCAGGCUGCCCAGGGAGGUGGUGGAGUCACCGUCCCUGGAGGUGUUCAAGAAACAUGGAGAUGCGGCACUGAGGGAUGUGGUCAGUGGGCAUGGUGGGGAUGGGCUGGCAUUUGGAUGUUAUGAUUUAGUUGUCUUUUCCAACUUUAAUGAUUCUGUGACUCUAUGCACAGCAAUAUUUCCACCAAGACACCAGCCCUAUGGCUCUUGAGCAUUUCUGUGUUUAAAUACCUUGGUGUGUUAAUGGGCCCUGGCAGACUUCCCUUCCCUAAAUGAGUUGAUUUCCUCUGGAAGCCAUUUAAAUGAUUGGCCUCCAGCAGCUGGUGGCAAUGAGUUCUGCAACCAAAUUAAAAACAAUAUGAAGUAACCUAUUAAUUUCAUUUUAAACCCGCUAGCCAGUAAUUUUACGGCGUGCCUCAUCACACUGCUGUAGGAGGACUAACAAAUAAACAUUCCCCUAUACACUGCCAUUUAUCUCAUUUUAUGCUGGCCUUCUCCCGAUGCUGAGGAGCAGUGUCCUUGUUUGUCUGUCCUUGGAAGCUCUUCCUUACCAUGGGGCAUUCAGAUGCUCUUAUCUGUACAGCUUUUAUUUUUAUUAUGCUACUGCUAGUAUGCCAAAUGACAGCAGAACUUAGAAAAUCAUGUGUUAGGAAGCAGCCUUUCACUUUAACAAGACAUUCAAAACUGAUCUUUUUGCACAGAGAUUACCAAUAUUGUACAUAAACUCACAAAUAAUCAGUUAGUGUCAUACAUAGCAUUAUUUUCUCACAGUCAGAGAUCUGUUAAAUAAUACUCUUCCUACUUAAUGUAUGUAGAGAUACAGAUAAUAAGAGAUACAUUCCUAUGCCAUGGUGUACAUUAAUGAGGGCUGGAGAGAAAGAGAGGGAGAGAGAGAGAGAUUUUCAGCAACUAGCAUGAAGAAGAUCGAGGGGAUGCCAAAACUACUGGAAGGAAAGAAAGAAGAAAUUGAAGAUGAGAAGAAAUUAGGGUAACGUGGAUCUAAGAGCCCAAGAGCAAAAGUAUAUCCAUGAUGUGAGUGUCCAAGAGCACCACAAACAGAUAAGACCUUUCUUAAAAUCAGUUCUUAGCCAUAGGGAUUGGAUUUGGGGUGGUGCUGUGUGGAGCCAGGAUCUGGACUCGGUGAUCCUUGUGGGCUCCUCCUCCCAGCUUGAGAUGACCUGUGUUUCUAUGAUUCUGUGUUGAUAGGGAGCACACCGGGCAGCUUGUGGCCCUUCCGCACCAUUCCAUAGUUGGUUUGCAGGAAUGUAAAUGGUUACUCAGUGCCAAAUUAUUUUUCUCUCUAACACUAGGGGCUUUUUAUUUCUGUCCUGACAAGCUGUUUGUAAAAUGUACUGCUGCAUGGUUGUAUUUAUAGCAGAUUGCCUGAGCUAUGAAUGGCGAAACGUUUCAUAAAAGACAGGCCAAUAACAUGCAAAUGAAAGAGUUGUUUUCUUACUGCUAAAAAGAAAGGUUGGUUUUGCUUAUCAGCACAAAGGAAAUUGAUGCUGUCACUUAUGGAAGCAUCCAUCUUAUUUCAAAUCUCUGGGAACGGUAAAGAGAGAAAAGCCGGAGAUUAAAAGACAGAGUCCAGUGAUCAAAAUGAAAAAUACAAUAGUCUCUGAUAUAUAAUAAUGAUGGGGCUGCUUGGGAUAUUUUGAAUCCUGUGAGCUUCAUGUUUUCUCCAUCACAAAAGAAAGACUGUCCACCAUUUUUUUGUAUUAAAAAGCUGCUGUGUUUCUGUCCUACGUAGUGAGCAUGAGAGAUAGAGACAGGAACUAAAACUGUCACUUAUUCUGCUUUCAGCUGAGCAUGCUGGGUUCCACUGCAGGCAAUAGCAAUGGCUGAUUAUUUUUUAAUAUAUUAUUAUAUUCAUAAUAUAAUAUAAUAUAAUAUUCAUUAUUUUUUGUUCACAUUUACUGUUCACAGUUGGAAUUACUGUAGUAAUCCUUCUGUAGACGAUGACAUAGUCACCACUGCAGAGACUUCAUGAAGGAGUGAAGACUACAGAGACUGUCACACUCCUCCUAGCCCUCGUGUUGCAAUUUGCAAUAGUGCUUGGGCUUUAGAUGGGUCCCUAGAUAAGCAGUGAGGGACAGCAUUCCUGAGACUUCUUCAGAAAAAAGAGACAAGCAAGGUGCAGUGAUAUUGUCCUUAUUUCAUGGCCUCUGCCGCCUCACAGUCAGGAUUGUACAGAAUAGCUCUGGUCUGGCAGCUCACUUGGAAUCAGAUGCUGAAGUCUACUUGAUACCCAAUAAAACUGGAACAAAUGCAUCUCCAUUAAGCAGAAGUACUCACUGCUGAUUAAGCACCCUACUCUGUUAGGGGGUAAAUUCAGACUACCAUUCUCCCCACUAAAGCAACAGAGCAUUCAUGAUUAUAAUUCUUCAGCAAGCUAAUGCAGAAACCGCAGAGCUUAAAAACUGCACUAGAUGAGGUUCACAGGACAUGAAAUACACUGCAUUUUUGUUAACCAUUAGUACUUAUAAAGCAUUUUUGGAAGGAGAAAAGUGCCAAUCUUUUCUUUCUUCACGAUCUUGUUAAUUAUGCUUACAGAUUUGUUUUGGGGCCUAAGUGAAGCAUUUGUUUGGUUUUCAUGUCAUAGAAUGACAGAAUCACAGAUUGGCUUGGGUUGGAAGAGACCUCAAAGAUCAUCUAGCUCCAACCCCCCUGCCAUGGGCAGGGUUGCCAACCACUA